rnacentral:tRNA from 2 species
UCAUGCCUUCGGAUACGCCGAAUUUUGCCAUUUUGCGUGGGGCGAAGUUGGCGACGGCGAUGACCAUGCGGCCGUUCAAUUCGGCAGGAUUUGGG